AGAGUUUGAUCCUGGCCCAGGAUGAACGCUAGCGGCAGGCCUAACACAUGCAAGUCGAGGGGUAUGGAGUGCUUGCACUUCAGAGACCGGCGCACGGGUGCGUAACGCGUAUGCAAUCUACCUAUUACAGGGGAAUAGCCCAGAGAAAUUUGGAUUAAUGCCCCAUAGUAUUAUUGAAUGGCAUCAUUUAAUAAUUAAAGAUUUAUCGGUAAUAGAUGAGCAUGCGUACUAUUAGCUAGUUGGUGUGGUAACGGCACACCAAGGCUACGAUAGUUAGGGGCCCUGAGAGGGGGAUCCCCCACACUGGUACUGAGACACGGACCAGACUCCUACGGGAGGCAGCAGUGAGGAAUAUUGGACAAUGGUGGGAACACUGAUCCAGCCAUGCCGCGUGCAGGAAGACUGCCCUAUGGGUUGUAAACUGCUUUUUUACGGGAAGAAACACUCUCACGUGUGAGAGCUUGACGGUACCGUAGGAAUAAGGAUCGGCUAACUCCGUGCCAGCAGCCGCGGUAAUACGGAGGAUCCGAGCGUUAUCCGGAAUCAUUGGGUUUAAAGGGUCCGUAGGCGGGCUUCUAAGUCAGUGGUGAAAUCCGGCAGCUUAACUGUCGAACUGCCAUUGAUACUGGAAGUCUUGAAUUACUGUGAAGUGGUUAGAAUAUGUAGUGUAGCGGUGAAAUGCUUAGAUAUUACAUGGAAUACCAAUUGCGAAGGCAGAUCACUAACAGUAUAUUGACGCUGAGGGACGAAAGCGUGGGUAGCGAACAGGAUUAGAUACCCUGGUAGUCCACGCCGUAAACGAUGGAUACUAGCUGUUGGGCGCAAGCUCAGUGGCUAAGCGAAAGUGAUAAGUAUCCCACCUGGGGAGUACGUUCGCAAGAAUGAAACUCAAAGGAAUUGACGG
rnacentral:rRNA from 1 species